rnacentral:rRNA from 1 species
CCUACGGGGGGCAGCAGUGGGGAAUAUUGGACAAUGGGCGAAAGCCUGAUCCAGCCAUGCCGCGUGUGUGAAGAAGGCCUUCGGGUUGUAAAGCACUUUCAGUGGGGAAGAAAGCCUUGGGGCUAAUACCCUCGAGGAAGGACAUCACCCACAGAAGAAGCACCGGCUAACUCCGUGCCAGCAGCCGCGGUAAUACGGAGGGUGCGAGCGUUAAUCGGAAUUACUGGGCGUAAAGCGCGCGUAGGCGGUCUGAUAAGCCGGUUGUGAAAGCCCCGGGCUCAACCUGGGAACGGCAUCCGGAACUGUCAGGCUAGAGUGCAGGAGAGGAAGGUAGAAUUCCCGGUGUAGCGGUGAAAUGCGUAGAGAUCGGGAGGAAUACCAGUGGCGAAGGCGGCCUUCUGGACUGACACUGACGCUGAGGUGCGAAAGCGUGGGUAGCAAACAGGAUUAGAUACCGGGUAGUC